UCGAUCCCAAACCAACUGUGCAUCAAGUGGGUGCUUUACCACUGGGCUAUGUCCUGCCCCUGCAUCAUUGUGAAAGCAGGAAAAGUAUAAUAUUACUUGAUGAUCAGCUCACGUAAUCUUAUCUUGAAACCAGAGAUGGUAAACGCGCCAAUAUUUGCAUUGGUCUAGUUGUGGUUUUUUAGCAUUGUCACUACUUUUGUUAGAGGUGUAACGCAUAUGUGUCUGGAAAUUUGAUAUCACAUGUUGCGGAGGUGUUGGUUUAAGUAACUGUCCAUUUUCAAAAGAGAAAUAACUUGAUACACUAAGAAACCUUAUUGAAAUAAAUCUCAUAUAUUGUAUAUCAGUGUGUUGUAAAUAUUAUUACAUGUUCUCCAAAAACAAGUGAGUCACAGAAAGAAAACAAUAAACUGAGAUGUUGCAGAAAUUGUUUGAAUAAUAUACCUCAAGUGUGGUCAACUGCACCUUGUUGAAGAGUUAACACCCUGACUGCUUGGAUAUGCAUAGCGAUAGUUCGCCACAUCACUGAAAUUAGCCUGCAGACCAGGAAUACAUGUGAGUACAUGACUGAGGCUGGUUGCCUGAUGUGCAAGAAGUCAAAUGAUUGAUACAUCCACUGUGUUAUCAACAAGUCAAAUGAUUGAUACAUCCACUGUGUUAUCAACAAGUCAAAUGAUUGAUACAUCCACUGUGUUAUCAACAAGUCAAAUGAUUGAUACAUCCACUGUGUUAUCAACAAGUCAAAUGAUUGAUACAUCCACUGUGUUAUCAACAAGUCAAAUGAUUGAUACAUCCACUGUGUUAUCAACAUGUCAAAUGAUUGAUACAUCCACUGUGUUAUCAACAAGUCAAAUGAUUGAUACAUCCACUGUGUUAUCAACAAAUCAAAUGCUUGAUACAUCCACUGUGUUAUUUUGCUAUUUCAAUCAUCAUUGCUAUAUGGGGCAGGAUUGAUCCCAGUGGUAAAGCGUUUUUGCUUGAUGCACGGUUGGUCUGGGAUCGAUUCCCGUCGGUGGGCCCAUUGGGCUAUUUCUCGUUCCAGCCAGUGCACCACGACUGGUAUAUCAA